rnacentral:rRNA from 1 species
UACCUGCAGCUCGAGUGGUAACCGCUAUUAUUGGGCCUAAAGCGUCCGUAGCCGGUUUGGUAAAUAUCUGGGUAAAUCGUGAGGCUUAACUUCACGAAUUUCGGAUAGACUGCCAGACUUGGGAUCGGGGGAGGUCAGAGGUACUCCAGGGGUAGCGGUGAAAUGUUGUAAUCCUUGGAGGACCACCGGUAGCGAAGGCGUCUGACUAGAACGAGUCCGACGGUGAGGGACGAAGCCCUGGGGCGCAAACCGGAUUAGAUACCCGGGUAGUCCAGGGUGUAAACGAUGUGGGCUUUGUAUUGGAGGUCCCACGUGGGCGUCCAGUGCAGAAGAGAAGUUGUUAAGCCCACCGCCUGGGAAGUACGGUCGCAGGGCUGGAACUUAAAGGAAUUGGCGGGGAGCACAGCAACGGGAGGAGCGUGCGGUUU